CACACGUGCUAGAUGGCGGGCCAAGUGUCCGGAAGUAGAAAACCCGCAAGAUUGCGUUACUUUAUAAUACUGUAUUACGUUACAUAUUUAGUUUUGUUAUGUGAUCAUGUUGUAAUUCGAGAUAGGUAAAAAAGGGGGUUGUGCCCCUAGAGUUGAGAUGCGAGUGUACUAUUACUACGGAGAGUUUGUGAUCAAGAAAUAAAGUAAAGAGAAUAUAAGUGAGUUUAUUUGGUUGUCCCCGACAAGCUCAACACAAGUUCAAAGUCAAACUGUUGGUAUCACCUUUGCCACAGACCAAAUGCAAGUGGGCUUUUUUGUGGGUACCAGGGGGUGAAGCUUGCGAGGCACAUCAAAAGGCAACAUUCCAAGGAAUCUGAAGUGGCCUGCCAGCUUGCAGGAACGAGUAAAAAGAACAAAGUAAAAGAACACGAAAGGCUCCGGCUCCUCGGUGAUUAUCACCACAAUUGCAAUGUCCUGAGCUUAGGCGAAGGACAACUGAUUGUGGUAUGCCUACCUCCCUUGUAAGUCGUGCCUUGGGUUUCACAAGGGGGACGACCUUUGGAGGCACAGAAAGAAGUGUGCGUUUAAACAGCAUGGGACAGACGAAGAAGUUGGUAUCACCUUUGCCACAGACCAAAUGCAAGUGGGCUUUUUUGUGGGUACCAGGGGGUGAAGCUUGCGAGGCACAUCAAAAGGCAACAUUCCAAGGAAUCUGAAGUGGCCUGCCAGCUUGCAGGAACGAGUAAAAAGAACAAAGUAAAAGAACACGAAAGGCUCCGGCUCCUCGGUGAUUAUCACCACAAUUGCAAUGUCCGGAGCUUAGGCGAAGGACAACUGAUUGUGGUAUGCCUACCUCCCUUGUAAGUCGUGCCUUGGGUUUCACAAGGGGGACGACCUUUGGAGGCACAGAAAGAAGUGUGCGUUUAAACAGCAUGGGACAGACAAAGAAGCCAACCUAUAUACCAAAUCUGUAUACGGUGAAGUGAAUAAAUUGUAUUGUGAGCGUGACGAGGUCGGCUUCGUGGCCAAGCACGAUGAACUAAUAAUACAGAUGGGGAACUGCCUCUAUGAUCAGCAUGGCGAGAGGCAGGCUACUUAUAUGAGCACCAAAAUGAGGGAGAUAGCCAGAUUGGUGCUCGAGGUUAAAAUAAAUGAACCGAGCCAACAUGGCCUGACUGAACUCAUCACUUCCCGAAAUUUCGCCCUGGUAAAAGAGGGGGUGAAGCGGGUUGCCGGCUUUAGUGGUGCCCGGCAUAUCUUCACCAUCCCUAGCGCACUUCACUAGUGCACUUCACUGAAGUGGGCAACUGGGCUCAGGCGCCAAGAUGAUGCAGCUAUCCUCCAUCUUAUGGAUAUAGAGUGGGCUCAAAAGGUAUGGAUCUGUUCAUUCCACAUUAUGUUAGAUCCUUGUGGUCCGCCCUAAAAUUAGUGUAGUCAGUUACAACCGCAGCAUUUAACACUUUUGGCUUAAUUUGAUGUUUUUUUAAAUAUAAAAAGUUCAGCAUUUAUACUGAUUAUAAAAAGAAUAGUGAUAAUGACUUUCAAGCUAUUCUAAAAGAAACUAAUGUGUUAAUAUAUUUUCAGGUAUCUUCCAAGUCCCUAGCCUCUGUCGGAGAGAGAAAAUACAACAAAAUUAAUCUACUUCCUCUGGCGGAGGAUCUUGCAAUGCUUAGGGCGUACCUGGACAAAAAUCCCCAGACAAGAAAGUGAAAUUUUAGUUUGGGUUAGGCUACACCUAUAAAAAGGAUAUCACAGACUCGUGUAAUACAAAUGUUUACCCAACAGAGAAGCAUAGUGCUGGCAUACCAGAAAUGCAUAAAGCUAAUGUUUUUUUAAUUUAUUUUCCAG